UACGUAGGGUGCAAGCGUUAAUCGGAAUUACUGGGCGUAAAGCGUGCGCAGGCGGUUUGAUAAGCCAGAUGUGAAAUCCCCGAGCUCAACUUGGGAACUGCGUUUGGAACUGUCAGACUAGAGUGCGUUAGAGGGGGGUGGAAUUCCGCGUGUAGCAGUGAAAUGCGUAGAGAUGCGGAGGAAUAUUGAUGGCGAAGGCAGCUUCCUGGGAUGACACUGAUGUUUAUGUAUGAAAGCGUGGGGAGCAAACAGG
rnacentral:rRNA from 1 species